UACGUAGGGGGCAAGCGUUGUCCGGAAUCAUUGGGCGUAAAGAGCGUGUAGGCGGCCCGGUAAGUCCGCUGUGAAAGUCCAGGGCUCAACCCUGGGAUGCCGGUGGAUACUGUCGGGCUCGAGUCCGGAAGAGGAGUGUGGAAUUCCUGGUGUAGCGGUGAAAUGCGCAGAUAUCAGGAGGAACACCGAUGGCGAAGGCAGGUCUCUGGGCAUUAACUGACGCUGAGGAGCGAAAGCGUGGGGAGCGAACAGG
rnacentral:rRNA from 1 species